AACCAUAGAAACCUGCGGAGUACCUGCGGAGGGAUCAUUAUGGUAUAUGGAAUCUCCAUUCUAUAAACCCACUCUGCGUAUCUUGUAACUGUUGCUUCCAUGGGACUUGGUUCCGCCACACCGGCUUCACGGCUGGUGAGCGCCCAUGGAAGGAGAAACAAAACUCUUCUUUGAAAUGUAGUCAGUCUGAACAAGUUUUUAUAAACGUUAAAACUUUCAGCAAUGGAUCUCAGAUCGGAA
rnacentral:misc_RNA from 1 species